GUUUUGUUUGCUUCACUCUGUUUGAGAUUUGAAAGGUCUUUUAACAUAGUUAAAGUCUACAAUAAACAGAUAUAUGAAAGAAAAGCAUUCCUUUUCUCUUGUGUCUGGUAGAUGUGCAGUUAUUUCUGGACUAGAAAAAUCAGCUCUUGCCUGCUCAGUUGCUCAAUGGUGUCCAACUCUGCAACUCUGUGGUCUGUAGCCAGCGAGGCUCCCCUGUCUAUGGGGUUCUCCAGACAAGAAUACUAGAGUGGGUUGCCAUGUCCUCCUCCAGGGGAUCUUCCCGACCCAUGAACUGAACCUGUGUCUCCUGAGAUGCCUACAUUGCAGGUGGAUUCUUUACCACUGAGCAACCAGGGAUAUGCUUUUGCCCCCUUAGGAAGGUAUCCAGCUGACUCAAAGGGAGCUGAAAUUUCAUCUUAUCCAUCAGCAAUGCAACAGUAUGGAUGUUAUGAAUAAUUCACAGAUGACUUCCUCAAGUCUUGGAGUUUACUUUGUCAGAGCCUUUUUUUUUUUUUUCCAAUUCUAAUUUCUCUGUUAAAUAACAGGCUUUUAACAACUUGUUUUUUGUUGUAACAUAUGUGAAAACAUUUGUCUUUCAAG
ensembl:lncRNA